rnacentral:rRNA from 1 species
CGCCCUGUUUUAAAAAAACAUGUCCUAGUGGUAUUUAUAUUAGGUCUGGCCUGCUCAAUGAUUUAUUAAAUGGCCGCAGUAUCUUGACUGUGCAAAGGUAGCAUAAUCAUUUGUCUUUUAAUUGAAGGCUUGUAUGAAUGGUUUGAUGAAAAUUAAUCUUUCUUUAUAUUAAUGGGAUGAAAUUAACUUUUAAGUUAAAAGGCUUAAAUUUUUUAAUGGGACGAGAAGACCCUAUAGAAUUUUAUUAAUUGGUUAAUUUAUUUAUAUAUUUGGUUUUUAGUUAUUAUACAAAUACUUAUUAAUUUUGUUGGGGCGACAGGGAGAUUUUUUUAACUCUUUUAUUUAAAUAUUUAUUUAUGAAUAAAUUUUGGAUCCUUAAUUUUGGAUAAAUAGAUUAAAUUACCUUAGGGAUAACAGCGUAAUUCUCCUGGAGAGUUCUUAUUGAUAGGGGAGUUUGCGACCUCGAUGUUGGAUUAAAAUUAGUUUUAAGUGCAGAAGCUUAAUUUCUAGGUCUGUUCGACCUUUAAUAUUUUACAUGAUCUGAGUUUCAACCGGG